GACGAACGCUGGCGGCGUGCUUAACACAUGCAAGUCGAACGAAGAGCGAUGGAAGCUUGCUUCUAUCAAUCUUAGUGGCGAACGGGUGAGUAACGCGUAAUCAACCUGCCCUUCAGAGGGGGACAACAGUUGGAAACGACUGCUAAUACCGCAUACGAUCUAAUCUCGGCAUCGAGGAUAGAUGAAAGGUGGCCUCUACAUGUAAGCUAUCACUGAAGGAGGGGAGUGCGUCUGAUUAGCUAGUUGGAGGGGUAACGGCCCACCAAGGCGAUGAUCAGUAGCCGGUCUGAGAGGAUGCACGGCCACAUUGGGACUGAGACACGGCCCAGACUCCUACGGGAGGCAGCAGUGGGGAAUCUUCCGCAAUGGACGAAAGUCUGACGGAGCAACGCCGCGUGAGUGAUGACGGCCUUCGGGUUGUAAAGCUCUGUUAAUCGGGACGAAAGGCCUUCUUGCGAAUAGUGAGAAGGAUUGACGGUACCGGAAUAGAAAGCCACGGCUAACUACGUG
rnacentral:rRNA from 1 species